UUGGAGACCAGAUUUUGAAGAUAUCAUGUAUAGCAUGAAAGGUCUUUAAUUUUUUAUCCUAAAAGCAAUCGGGAUAUUUUGCAUUUCGCAUGUUGAGCAAGGCAGUGUGCUAUUUCCACUUUAAUUCUGGAAAAAAAGCUACAUUGAAAAGGAGGAAAAUUGGAUAAUUGAACUGGUCUACUGGAGGGAUGGUGUGGGCCUGAACUGAGACAAGGGCUAUGAGAAUGGAGAAGCAAAGCAACAGACCCAAUCUCUCCUCUGAAGGAGGCAGACUCAGUUGAACUUGGGGAUUCAUUGCACUUUUUUGGGUGAGUGGAGAGACAAGGUCUCUGUUGCCCAGGUG
rnacentral:lncRNA from 1 species